rnacentral:rRNA from 1 species
AUUGAACGCUGGCGGCAGGCCUAACACAUGCAAGUCGAACGGUAACAGGAAGCAGCUUGCUGCUUCGCUGACGAGUGGCGGACGGGUGAGUAAUGUCUGGGAAGCUGCCUGAUGGAGUGGGAUAACUACUGGAAACGGUAGCUAAUACCGCAUAAUGUCGCAAGACCAAAGAGGGGGACCUUCGGGCCUCUUGCCAUCGGAUGUGCCCAGAUGGGAUUAGCUUGUUGGUGGGGUAACGGCUCACCAAGGCGACGAUCCCUAGCUGGUCUGAGAGGAUGACCAGCCACACUGGAACUGAGACACGGUCCAGACUCCUACGGGAGGCAGCAGUGGGGAAUAUUGCACAAUGGGCGCAAGCCUGAUGCAGCCAUGCCGCGUGUAUGAAGAAGGCCUUCGGGUUGUAAAGUACUUUCAGCGGGGAGGAAGGGAGUAAAGUUAAUACCUUUGCUCAUUGACGUUACCCGCAGAAGAAGCACCGGCUAACUCCGU